UGGGGAAUAUUGCACAAUGGGCGCAAGCCUGAUGCAGCCAUGCCGCGUGUGUGAAGAAGGCCUUCGGGUUGUAAAGCACUUUCAGCGGGGAGGAAGGCGUUAAGGUUAAUAACCUUGGCGAUUGACGUUACCCGCAGAAGAAGCACCGGCUAACUCCGUGCCAGCAGCCGCGGUAAUACGGAGGGUGCAAGCGUUAAUCGGAAUUACUGGGCGUAAAGCGCACGCAGGCGGUCUGUCAAGUCGGAUGUGAAAUCCCCGGGCUCAACCUGGGAACUGCAUUCGAAACUGGCAGGCUAGAGUCUUGUAGAGGGGGGUAGAAGUCCAUGUGUAGCGGUGAAAUGCGUAGAGAUGUGGAGGAAUACCGGUGGCGAAGGCGGCCCCCUGGACAAAGACUGACGCUCAGGUGCGAAAGCGUGGGGAGCAAACAGG
rnacentral:rRNA from 1 species